AACGAACGCUGGCGGCAGGCUUAACACAUGCAAGUCGAGCGCCCCGCAAGGGGAGCGGCAGACGGGUGAGUAACGCGUGGGAAUCUACCGUGCCCUACGGAAUAACGCAUGGAAACGUGUGCCAAUACCGUAUACGCCCUACGGGGGAAAGAUUUAUCGGGGUAUGAUGAGCCCGCGUUGGAUUAGCUAGUUGGUGGGGUAAAGGCCUACCAAGGCGACGAUCCAUAGCUGGUCUGAGAGGAUGAUCAGCCACAUUGGGACUGAGACACGGCCCAAACUCCUACGGGAGGCAGCAGUGGGGAAUAUUGGACAAUGGGCGCAAGCCUGAUCCAGCCAUGCCGCGUGAGUGAUGAAGGUCUUAGGAUUGUAAAGCUCUUUCACCGGUGAAGAUAAUGACGGUAACCGGAGAAGAAGCCCCGGCUAACUUCGUGCCAGCCGCCGCAGUAAGAC
rnacentral:rRNA from 1 species